AGAGUUUGAUCCUGGCUCAGGAUGUUCGCUAGCGACAGGCUUAACACAUGCAAGUCGAGGGGCAGCAGGGGCGUAGCAAUACGCCUGCUGGCGACCGGCGCACGGGUGAGUAACACGUAUGAAACCUGCCCGUAGCAGGGGGAUAAGCGGAAGAAAUUCCGUCUAAUACCGCGUAAUAACCGUUUGGGGCAUCCCUUAAGGUUUAAAGGAGCGAUCCGGCUACGGAUGGUCAUGCGUCGCAUUAGCUAGUCGGCGGGGUAACGGCCCACCGAGGCGACGAUGCGUAGGGGUUCUGAGAGGAAGGUCCCCCACACUGGUACUGAGACACGGACCAGACUCCUACGGGAGGCAGCAGUGAGGAAUAUUGGUCAAUGGCCGGAAGGCUGAACCAGCCAAGUCGCGUGAGGGAAGACGGCCCUAUGGGUUGUAAACCUCUUUUGUCGGGGAGCAAAGGCCGCCACGCGUGGCGGAUUGAGAGUACCCGAAGAAAAAGCAUCGGCUAACUCCGUGCCAGCAGCCGCGGUAAUACGGAGGAUGCGAGCGUUAUCCGGAUUUAUUGGGUUUAAAGGGUGCGCAGGCGGGAUGUCAAGUCAGCGGUCAAAUCGAGGGGCUCAACCCCUUUCCGCCGUUGAAACUGGCGUCCUAGAGUGGGCGAGAAGUACGCGGAAUGCGUGGUGUAGCGGUGAAAUGCAUAGAUAUCACGCAGAACUCCGAUUGCGAAGGCAGCGUACCGGCGCCCAACUGACGCUCAUGCACGAAAGCGUGGGUAUCGAACAGGAUUAGAUACCCUGGUAGUCCACGCAGUAAACGAUGAAUACUAACUGUCCGGCCCGAUCGGGGGCUGGGCGGUACAGCGAAAGCGUUAAGUAUUCCACCUGGGGAGUACGCCGGCAACGGUGAAACUCAAAGGAAUUGACGGGGGCCCGCACAAGCGGAGGAACAUGUGGUUUAAUUCGAUGAUACGCGAGGAACCUUACCCGGGCUCAAACGACGGAUGAAUGUUUUUGAAAGGAGGCAGCCCUUCGGGGCAUCCGUCGAGGUGCUGCAUGGUUGUCGUCAGCUCGUGCCGUGAGGUGUCGGCUUAAGUGCCAUAACGAGCGCAACCCCCAUCGCCAGUUACCAGCAAGUGAAGUUGGGGACUCUGGCGAGACUGCCGGCGCAAGCUGUGAGGAAGGCGGGGAUGACGUCAAAUCAGCACGGCCCUUACGUCCGGGGCGACACACGUGUUACAAUGGCAGGUACAGAGAGAUGCCACCUGGCGACAGGGAGCAGAACUCGAAAGCCUGUCUCAGUUCGGAUCGGAGUCUGCAACCCGACUCCGUGAAGCUGGAUUCGCUAGUAAUCGCGCAUCAGCCAUGGCGCGGUGAAUACGUUCCCGGGCCUUGUACUCACCGCCCGUCA
rnacentral:rRNA from 1 species